rnacentral:tRNA from 1 species
AUUAAUAUGGCAGAAAAUAAGUGCUUUAGAGUUAAGUUCUAAAUAUGAAUAAUUUAAUUCUAUUAAUA